rfam:Ichthyophthirius multifiliis unplaced genomic scaffold scaff_1120509251232, whole genome shotgun sequence.
GCUCGGGUAGCUCAGUUGGUUAGAGCGUGGGUCUAAUAAACCCAAGGUCGAGGGUUCAAUCCCCUCCUUGAGCA